AUUGAACGCUGGCGGCAGGCCUAACACAUGCAAGUCGAGCGGAUGAAGGGAGCUUGCUCCUGGAUUCAGCGGCGGACGGGUGAGUAAUGCCUAGGAAUCUGCCUGGUAGUGGGGGACAACGUUUCGAAAGGAACGCUAAUACCGCAUACGUCCUACGGGAGAAAGCAGGGGACCUUCGGGCCUUGCGCUAUCAGAUGAGCCUAGGUCGGAUUGGAUAGUUGGUGAGGUAAUGGCUCACAAAGGCGACGAUCCGUAACUGGUCUGAGAGGAUGAUCAGUCACACUGGAACUGAGACACGGUCCAGAGUCCUACGGGAGGCAGCAGUGGGGAAUAUUGGACAAUGGGCGAAAGCCUGAUCCAGCCAUGCCGCGUGUGUGAAGAAGGUCUUCGGAUUGUAAAGCACUUUAAGUUGGGAGGAAGGGUUGUAGAUUAAUACUCUGCAAUUUUGACGUUACCGACAGAAUAAGCACCGGCUAACUCUGUGCCAGCCGCCGCCGUAAUAC
rnacentral:rRNA from 1 species